CAUUUACACAAAAGGAAAAGAGUUUAACAUUGAUUUUGAAAAGGAUAGAAGAGUCGCUUGGGCCUAACAACAUACAUACAUAUAAGGCAUUAUUAGCGCUUGCUGGCAUCUAAGUGGUUUUC